rnacentral:rRNA from 1 species
GAUGAAGGAGAGCUUGCUCUCUGGAUUAGUGGCGAACGGGUGAGUAACACGUGAGCAACCUGCCCCUGACUCUGGGAUAAGCGCUGGAAACGGCGUCUAAUACUGGAUAUGAGCUCCUGCCGCAUGGUGGGGGUUGGAAAGAUUUUUUGGUUGGGGAUGGGCUCGCGGCCUAUCAGCUUGUUGGUGAGGUAAUGGCUCACCAAGGCGUCGACGGGUAGCCGGCCUGAGAGGGUGACCGGCCACACUGGGACUGAGACACGGCCCAGACUCCUACGGGAGGCAGCAGUGGGGAAUAUUGCACAAUGGGCGGAAGCCUGAUGCAGCAACGCCGCGUGAGGGAUGACGGCCUUCGGGUUGUAAACCUCUUUUAGCAGGGAAGAAGCGAGAGUGACGGUACCUGCAGAAAAAGCACCGGCUAACUACGUGCCAGCAGCCGCGGUAAUACGUAGGGUGCAAGCGUUAUCCGGAAUUAUUGGGCGUAAAGAGCUCGUAGGCGGUUUGUCGCGUCUGCUGUGAAAUCCCGAGGCUCAACCUCGGGUCUGCAGUGGGUACGGGCAGACUAGAGUGCGGUAGGGGAGAUUGGAAUUCCUGGUGUAGCGGUGGAAUGCGCAGAUAUCAGGAGGAACACCGAUGGCGAAGGCAGAUCUCUGGGCCGUAACUGACGCUGAGGAGCGAAAGGGUGGGGAGCAAACAGGCUUAGAUACCCUGGUAGUCCACCCCGUAAACGUUGGGAACUAGUUGUGGGGUCC